GUAGAAGAAAGUAAGAAAGGGUACACGGGGGAUGCCUUGGCUCUCAGAGGCGAAGAAGGACGUGAUAAGCUGCGAUAAGCUGCGGGGAUUAGCAAAUAUGAAUUAAUCCGCAGAUUUCCGAAUGGGGAAACCUAGUUAUUUGAAGAAUAACUGCAUAAAUGCGCUAACCUGCCGAACUGAAACAUCUAAGUAAGCAGAGGAAGAGAAAACAAUAGUGAUUUCCAGAGUAGUGGCGAGCGAAAUGGAAGAAGCCCAAACCUGUUAUGUUACGGCAUAGCAGGGGUUGUAGGACCACAACAUGAAUAUUAAAUAGAACCGGAACGGGGUGGGAAACCCGGCCAUAGAGCAUGAGAGCUGCGUACGGGUAAUAGAUAAUAGGAUAGUGGUAUCCUGAGUACCGCGAGGUCGGAGACGCCUUGUGGGAAUUUGCCGGCACCAUCCGGUAAGGCUAAAUACUCCUGAGAGACCGAUAGUGAACCAGUACCGUGAGGGAAAGGUGAAAAGAACCCCGAACAGGGGAGUGAAAUAGAACCUGAAACCGUGUACUUACAAGCGGUCGGAGCCUGGCAACGGGUGACGGCGUGCCUUUUGCAUAAUGAGCCUACGAGUUACUCUUCCCUGGCAAGGUUAAGUGUUUAAGACACGGAUCCGAAGCGAAAGCGAGUCUGAAAAGGGCGUAUAGUCAGGGGAGGUAGACGCGAAACCUUGUGAUCUACCCAUGGGCAGGUUGAAGGUGCCGUAACAGGUACUGGAGGACCGAACCGAUAAACGUUGAAAAGUUUCCGGAUGACUUGUGGGUAGGGGUGAAAGGCUAAUCAAACUGGGAAAUAGCUCGUACUCCCCGAAAUGUUUUUAGGAACAGCCUGGCGGUUGAGUUAUAAAGAGGUAGAGCUACUAAUUGGGUGCGGGGGAGUCAAAUCCUACCAAAUCCAGAUAAACUCCGAAUGCUUUAUAAUAUACGCUGGAGUGAGGCUAUGGGUGCUAAGGUCCAUGGCCGAGAGGGAAAGAACCCAGACCAUCAGCUAAGGUCCCUAAAUUAUUGCUAAGUUGAACUAACGAGGUCCGAUUGCACAGACAGCUAGGAUGUUGGCUUGGAAGCAGCCAUUCAUUUAAAGAGUGCGUAACAGCUCACUAGUCGAGCGAUCGGGCAUGGAUAAUAAACGGGCAUCAAGCAGUAUACCGAAGCUAUGGAUUCAUAUUAAUAUGACUGGUAGGGGAGCAUUCUAUUAUCCGGCGAAGCAGGAAGGUAACUGACUGUGGAGGGAAUAGAAAAGCAAAUGUAGGCAUAAGUAACGAUAAGGCGGGAGAGAAACCCGCCCACCGAAAGACUAAGGUUUCCUGAUCAACGCUAAUCGGAUCAGGGUUAGUCGGGGCCUAAGGUGAAGCCGACAGGCGUAGCCGAUGGACAACUGGUUAAUAUUCCAGUACUUUUUAUUACUGCGAUGCGGUGACGGAGUAGUGACACUGACGCGAACUGACGGAAUAGUUCGUUAAAGGCUGUAGGUAUAGAGUUUGUAGUUAAGUACGCAGACUUUGCUGAAAGCUGAUAGUACACCAAAUCUUCGGACAAGGUGAUAGUUCAGGUAAUCAGACUUCCAAGAAAACCCGCUAAGCUUCAGGUAAUAAAAACCCGUACCGUAAACCGACACAGGUAGUCGAGGAGAGAAUCCUAAGGUGCUCGAGUGAAUCAUGGCUAAGGAACUCGGCAAAAUGGCCCUGUAACUUCGGGAGAAGGGGCGCUGG
rnacentral:rRNA from 1 species